rnacentral:lncRNA from 10 species
CUUUGGGAGUGCUAGGAGACUUUGCCCAGGAGACAGCAAAGAGCCAGCAGACAAAUUCCUUUUCCUUCCUCUCCUGCUCUGAGGUGUGGUGGGUGGAAGAGAGGCACCUGGCCUCUUCUUCUUUUAAAAUGAUUUACACAAUGGACUGUCAUGUACCAUGUAGAAGUUAUUUUUCUUUUUUAUCUAUUUGUUAUUAAGUAGGGGUAGCAUUAAUCUUUUUAUAGAUGUGAAUAAUUUCUGGAUAUAAAUGGCUCCCUACUUUUAGAGAUUUUGAUUUGAAAUUGCUAUUAUCUUACAAAGUUGUCCCUUUUGUAUUAAAGAAGUCCAUGUCAUUGUGAGUAGCACCCCUGGGUGCCGAGACCAGCUCAGUCAGGGAGACCCUAAACCAGCGGCGCUAGAGGAAUUAAAGACACACACAGAAAUAUAGAGGUGUGAAGUGGGA